rnacentral:rRNA from 1 species
GACGAACGCUGGCGGCGUGCCUAACACAUGCAAGUCAACGAGAAAGGGGUAGCAAUACCCUGAGUAAAGUGGCGCACGGGUGAGUAACGCGUGGGUAACCCACCCUCGAAUCUGGGAUAACUCCGCGAAAGCGGUGCUAAUACCGGAUAAGACCACAUUCCGUUCGCGGAAAGAGGUAAAAGCUGACCUCUCCAUGGAAGUUAGCGUUUGAGGACGGGCCCGCGUCCUAUCAGCUUGUUGGUGGGGUAAUGGCCUACCAAGGCACCGACGGUAGCUGGUCUGAGAGGAUGAUCAGCCACACUGGAACUGGAACACGGUCCAGACUCCUACGGGAGGCAGCAGUGAGGAAUUUUGCGCAAUGGGGGAAACCCUGACGCAGCAACGCCGCGUGGGUGAAGAAGGCUUUCGGGUCGUAAAGCCCUGUCAGGUGGGAAGAAACUCUUCAGCACUAAUAAUGCUGAAGUCUGACGGUACCACCAGAGGAAGCACCGGCCAACUCCGUG